UCAUGUCUGUCUGUGACCUGACUAACUUAAGAUUCAAAACUCAUUACUAGAUGUCGCCAGGUCGCCCAUGUUGACAUUCUGACAUCGUGAAAUUUCAAUGAAUCCUGUGAUUUCAAAUGCCAAAUUGAACUUCGUAUCAUAUAUGCAUACUGCCAGUAUUCCAACAAGUUGACUUAGCGCUCAGUCAAUUUCCACCCAUUAAACCCAUCAUGCUGUCAAGCCUAAAACUCAUGUUUGAUGCACACACAUACUGGAAUACAAAUGUUCUGAGAUAAGGAUCUUUUCCGAAUCUCACAAUUUUGGUGGUGUACCCUGCAACAGCAUGUUUGUUGUU